GCUGGGCACAGUGGCACAUGCCUGUAAUCUCAGCAGCUUGGGAGGCUGAGGCAGGAGGAUCACGAGUUCAAAGCCAGCCUCGUGCUAAGCAACUCAGUGAGACCCUGUCUCUA
rnacentral:sRNA from 1 species